rnacentral:rRNA from 1 species
AGUGAACGCUGGCGGUAGGCCUAACACAUGCAAGUCGAACGGCAGCACAGUAAGAGCUUGCUCUUACGGGUGGCGAGUGGCGGACGGGUGAGGAAUACAUCGGAAUCUACUUUUUCGUGGGGGAUAACGUAGGGAAACUUACGCUACUACCGCAUACGACCUACGGGUGAAAGCAGGGGAUCUUCGGACCUUGCGCGAUUGAAUGAGCCGAUGUCGGAUUAGCUAGUUGGCGGGGUAAAGGCCCACCAAGGCGACGAUGCGUAGCUGGUCUGAGAGGAUGAUCAGCCACACUGGAACUGAGACACGGUCCAGACUCCUACGGGAGGCAGCAGUGGGGAAUAUUGGACAAUGGGCGCAAGCCUGAUCCAGCCAUACCGCGUGGGUGAAGAAGGCCUUCGGGUUGUAAAGCCCUUUUGUUGGGAAAGAAAAGCAGCAGGUUAAUACCCCGCUGUUCUGACGGUACCCAAAGAAUAAGCACCGGCUAACUUCGUG